UACGUAGGGGGCAAGCGUUGUCCGGAUUUAUUGGGCGUAAAGAGCGUGUAGGCGGCCAGGUAGGUCUGCUGUGAAAACUCGAGGCUCAACCUCGAGACGCCGGUGGAAACCAUCAGACUAGAGUCCGGAAGAGGAGAGUGGAAUUCCUGGUGUAGCGGUGAAAUGCGCAGAUAUCAGGAAGAACACCCGUGGCUAAGGCGGCUCUCUAGUACGGUACUGACGCUGAGACGCGAAAGCGUGGGGAGCGAACAGG
rnacentral:rRNA from 1 species